CCGGCGCACGGGUUGGUAACACGUAUCCAACCUGCCGUCUACUCUUGGACAGCCUUCUGAAAGGAAGAUUAAUACAAGAUGGCAUCAUGAGUCCGCAUGUUCACAUGAUUAAAGGUAUUCCGGUAGACGAUGGGGAUGCGUUCCAUUAGAUAGUAGGCGGGGUAACGGCCCACCUAGUCUUCGAUGGAUAGGGGUUCUGAGAGGAAGGUCCCCCACAUUGGAACUGAGACACGGUCCAA
rnacentral:rRNA from 1 species